AUGCGCGCGCGCACGUGUGUGUGUGUCCUGCAUGAGCUCUGUGUUGUUCUGCGGUAUUCCACACAGCCAACCGAACGCGUGGGAGGUGCACCAGGCACCUCCGGCAACGGCCUUGAAGGGUCGUCAUGGCAGUCCUCAUUUCUCUCUGGAGGUGCACGAGCUGAAGUUCUACGCAGACUUCUACAAUGAACACCAUAAAUGCUGCUGGCCGCGGCUAGUGCUCGACGCCCACCUCGGUAAAUCUGCCGAGGAGGUUGCUCACGCUCACGCUCACGCGGCUGGCUCCGCUGCUGAAAACCUGAAGCGAACAUUUCUCGAAUCAAGCGUAGCGGCCGAAGACGCCGCCGAGGCUUCUUUGUCGCUGUACACGGACCAUAUGGCUGAGGUGAUGGAGCAGUUGUAUAUGACGCAACAGGAGAAGGCGCCGCGAGCACCGUACGCGCGUCGCGCGCUGUUUCACCAAGGAUUGCCGCCCGUGCUGCGCUGCCACGAGCACAGUGACUCCUUUGCCUACGUUCUGAGUGGACAGCUUCGACUGUUUCACAGCUGCGGAAGCAGGAGCUGGGUGAGUGAUCACCAAUUUGAUGGGCGUGAAAGUCGCUGUUCGCAUGGGGAUACCGCUGACGACCUCGCGCGCGACGUGUUUCCUCUGGUGCUUAUAAUGGCUCCUGGGGAUGACUGUGCCCUGUACGUCGACGCCGAGCCUCCCGUGGCCUCCGCAGCGACUCAGUGGCGCGCGAAGCCUCUCGUUCUGGCACUUGAGUCGGUCGAUCCUGUGCGCUCGCCUUCUCUGAAUGAAGGUGGGGAGGAGCACGAGAUGUGGUGCGCUGCCUAUACGCCCUUUACGUGGAUCUGCAACCCGCUUGGGAACCAGAGGGUUUCUGUGUUGAUCAAGUCCACCGCUGCGAUGCGUCGCAUGCCGCGGAUGCAGAAGCACGAUACGGCGAAAUCAGCUGCGUCCAAGCGAAGCGCACUGACUCGACAAAUGGAAUCGCCCGGCGCAGGGGCAUCGGCAUCGCUACAGCCACUGCGGCUUUCUUUCAUCGUGCACGCGUCGCAGUACGCGUGUGAGGCUGCGAAGGAGCGGGUUGUGCGGACAUUGGCAUCCAGCGACGUGUACAAUCUUCAUGUGACGAAAUGCAUGCGCUUUGGCCUCGGCGGAGCGGACUUUUACAAGCGCGCCGUGCUGGGCGCGGAUGAGGAGGCGCUCUCACACGCGCGAAGCCGGCGACCUGCCCAGCUGAUGCGGCUUCUGGACGACAAACUGGAGCUUGUGACGGACGCGACUUCGAGGACGACGAAGCCAGAAGAAAGACUGAAUAGCUCCUCCGGCGACGGGGCUUCGAGGGAGUCUGUGGGGUCACCUUCGUUGAAGGUGCCUCGGCAUGAAGCUGAUGGCGAGGCUCCGUCAACGGCGGCUGGUGCAGAGUGUCAGUUGCCUUGCUUGGUUCCCUCCGUAGCAACAUAUCCUAUUGCUCAGCUCUGCACGAUGAGGCCAAUCGAGCGGGAAUGGUGCCGACUUCCGAAAUCGAUCACGCUCGCCUCCGUCUUACCGCGACCGAGAGGCAUCACCCCAUCGCACAGCGGCUGGCCGCUGCGUGUGCUGGCCCACGCGAACGAUUGCUCCGAUCCUGUUGUGGAGCUGUCUUCACUGGCAACUCUACAGGACCUAGCGGCGGCAUUGCGCAGUGUGUCGCCAUGACGCACUGCGCGCCGCAAACUGUUUGUGGUUGUGCUUCGUUGCAGUGCGGAGGACGUCCCUGGUGUUCGCCGCCCCAACUCAGUCCCUCCUCUACCCUCCACGUGUUUGCCAAUUUUAGGACGCUUGCAACUGUCAAAGCCCAUUAUCAUC
rnacentral:misc_RNA from 1 species